AUUGAACGCUGGCGGCAGGCUUAACACAUGCAAGUCGAGCGGGGGAAGGUAGCUUGCUACCGGACCUAGCGGCGGACGGGUGAGUAAUGCUUAGGAAUCUGCCUAUUAGUGGGGGACAACAUCUCGAAAGGGAUGCUAAUACCGCAUACGUCCUACGGGAGAAAGCAGGGGAUCUUCGGACCUUGCGCUAAUAGAUGAGCCUAAGUCGGAUUAGCUAGUUGGUGGGGUAAAGGCCUACCAAGGCGACGAUCUGUAGCGGGUCUGAGAGGAUGAUCCGCCACACUGGGACUAAGACACGGCCCAGACUCCUACGGGGGGCAGCAGUGGGGAAUAUUGGACAAUGGGGGGAACCCUGAUCCAGCCAUGCCGCGUGUGUGAAGAAGGCCUUAUGGUUGUAAAGCACUUUAAGCGAGGAGGAGGCUACUUUAGUUAAUACCUAGAGAUAGUGGACGUUACUCGCAGAAUAAGCACCGGCUAACUCUGUGCCAGCAGCCGCCGUAA
rnacentral:rRNA from 1 species